rnacentral:rRNA from 1 species
AGAUUGAACGCUGGCGGCGUGCUUAACACAUGCAAGUCGAGCGGUAACGCGGGAGCAAUCCUGGCGACGAGCGGCGAACGGGUGAGUAAUGCUUGGGAAUCUGCCCAUUAGUGGGGAACAACCAGCCGAAAGGUUGGCUAAUACCGCAUACGCCCUACGGGGGAAAGCGGGGGAUCGAAAGACCUCGCGCUAAUGGAUGAGCCCAAGUCGGAUUAGCUUGUUGGUAGGUAACGGCCUACCAAGGCGACAAUCCGUAGCUGGUCUGAGAGGACGACCAGCCACACUGGGACUGAGACACGGCCCAGACUCCUACGGGAGGCAGCAGUGGGGAAUAUUGGACAAUGGGGGCAACCCUGAUCCAGCGACGCCGCGUGUGUGAAGAAGGCCUGCGGGUUGUAAAGCACUUUUAGUGGGGAUGAAAAGCUCAGGGUUAACACCUCUGGGUCUUGACCUAACCCACAGAAAAGCACCGGCUAACUCUGCGCCAGCAGCCGCGGUAA